rfam:Dorea sp. 42_8 Ley3_66761_scaffold_7478, whole genome shotgun sequence.
AGAUAAAACACGGGGAGCUUGUGUACCAGGCUGAGAGGAAGUUAAGAACUUCGACCCAUAUACCUGAUUUGGAUAAUGCCAACGUAGGAAUGUAUAACGUAGAUUUU